UACGAAGGGUGCAAGCGUUACUCGGAAUUACUGGGCGUAAAGCGUGCGUAGGUGGUUUGUUAAGUCUGAUGUGAAAGCCCUGGGCUCAACCUGGGAAUUGCAUUGGAUACUGGCAGGCUAGAGUGCGGUAGAGGAUGGCGGAAUUCCCGGUGUAGCAGUGAAAUGCGUAGAGAUCGGGAGGAACAUCUGUGGCGAAGGCGGACUCCUGGACACACUGACACUGAGGCACGAAAG
rnacentral:rRNA from 1 species